CCCGUUACCGCUCCGCGCCCCUCCUCUCCGCCUCUUUCGGUUGUGGUCCUUUUUUGAAUUUUGGGUGUGGUUUUCCCUUUUCAUUUGAGCGGUACUGUAGCGAUAAGGGAGAGAGGAGAUAGCGAGGCAAAGGGAGGAAUAGGCGCUCGGGCGAUGGAGGCAAUCCCUUUCUGUUCAUGUCGAUUCCCAGAUCCCCCACCUGUGGAGCUUGAUUUCUCUCUCAUUUCCCUUUGAUUCUCGCCUCCUGCGGUUGGUUGGUCUCUCAAUUUCUCUCUCGAGCGCGUGAUUUUGUUCAUUUCUCGGUGUGUAGCUUCGAGAUCUAGGGGUCGGUUGCUGAUGUGAUUUUGUUAGGGUUCGUGGUAGGUGUGUGUUGUGAUCCGAGGCCGUGUUGUUGUAGAUUCAUGGUAGGUGCUUGUAGUUUUAGCGGUUCGUUUUGGUACGCGUUCUCCCGCUGUCGUUCAUCAUCUACUUCGUGUUGUCCGCAUUUUUGUUCCUCUUCUGCUCGUGGUAGGUUCAACGUGUUCAGUUUCUGUGAUUCAGAUAAAUGUAUGGAUCAGUUAUAGGGUUUUGAGAUGGGAGUUUUUGUGGUUUUGGGUUUGUGAUUUGCGUUGGUAGGUGGUUUGUUUGUUCGCUGGUAGAUGGGUGUUGCCUCCUUUGUCCGUGUUGGUUUCUAGGUUUCCUCUUAUGCCCUCUGUUGCAGGUCCCUUUUGUCAUGUGAGUGGAUAAAUCGCUCUUAGUGUUGGUUUAGAUGUACUUAGGUUCCUUCUUCUUAAUGCCAUGGUAACUGUGUGUGUGAUGCAGGUUCUGUAUCUUUUUCCUUGUGCCGAGUGUUGAUGUGUAUCCCCACAGUUUUAGUGUCAUACAUUAGAAUUACUGUGUAUUUUUGCAUGAGUCUUACUGUGUAAUCCACAUAGUUUCAGUGUGCAAAUUGCAAAUCUAGUUUCUAUUUAUUCCAGUAGAUCAUCCCAGUAGAGUCUGAUGCCAUUGAAAUGUUUCUGUUUAUGUUAAUUGUCAUGCAUCUUAUUUUCCACGAAUUACUAUGGAAUUUAACUAUGAUUUACACUAUAAUAUAGGACGGUUUUCCACUGUAAUAUGCCUAAUAUUGCACUGUAAUUUACCAACUGUAGUAUACCCCAGAAUUACAGUGUAAUUUCUAUGCUUCAUCACUGUAUCUACCCCAGAUUUACACUGCAAUUUAUAUGCUUCAGAACUGUAAUCAGAUGUGGAUUUACCUCUGAAUUGUUGUAGGGCUUACACUGUAAUAUACCGCAGAUUUACACUGUAAUUUGUAUGCUUCAGCACUGUAAAUGUUGUAUGCUUUACACAGUAUUUUUUGGACUGAGUAUAGUGGAUUUUUACCUCUGAAUUGAUGUAGGGCUUACACUGUAAUAUACUGCACAUUUACACUGUAAUUUGUAUGCUUCAGUACUGUAAAUUUGUAGGUCUUACACAGUAUUUGUCAGAUGAUUUACCUCUCAUUUUUAUAGUGUGAUUUCCAUGCUUUUUAGCUCUGUACUUCAUGUACUUUCUUGCAUUUUUGUUUUCUUCUUUUCAUGUGCAAGUGUGUCUCUGUUGUAGUAGUAUUGAGCGAGGUCCUGUUUUUCACUCUGUAAUUACUAGUAUUUUUUGCCUCAGACUUACUAUGCAAAUUGCAUGGUAGUUUCUAUGUAAGUCAGCCCAUAGUUUCAGUGUUUUUUCACAUAAUUACUAGUAUUUACUGUGUAUUUUUGCCCCAUUUUUACUGUGUAAUUCAUCAUGUAGUUUCAGAGUGUAAUUUACUAUAAAAUUAUUUUGUAAUUCAUCAUGCAGUUCCAGUGUAAUUCCAUGUAGAAUUACUGUGUAAAUCAUGCCGUAUUUUUACUGUGUAAUUUACUAUAGAAUUACUGUGUAAUUCAUUAUGCAGUUUCAGUGUAAUUCAUUAAUGCAGUUUCAGUGCCGUAGUUUUACUGUGUAAUUCUGCUAUGUAAUUCCUGACUAUGCCCCCUGAUUCCAGUGUAAUUUCCCCUAGAAUUACGAUGGUUUACAUUGUAGCUACAGUGUAUAUUCCCAGAUUUUUGCAAUGUAUUUACAUUGAUUCAGUUAUGUAAUCUCUCAUGCUAAUUUUCACUGUACCCCUAUUCUUUCUUCUGAAUUUUUACAGUGUACCCCUAGUUUUACUGUGUUGCUUAUUAUAUGUAUUUUACAGUGUAAUUUUUGCCCUAAUUUGCAGUGUAAUAUUCAUGCUUUUAGCACUGUGAUUUAUAGGUUUAGUUUAUGAGUGGUUGCAAAUGGGUUUACAUAUCUUCAAGGAUUGUCGCUCUGUUUGCAAGCUUGACCUGUCGCAAUUUGUUUAUGAGUGGUUGUUGUCUAGUAUUAAGAAAUUCAAGGAUUCUACUAAAGUUGCUUCGAAAAGCUCUGUGACGUUUGGUGGCUGCCAUUACGCCUUUGCUGUUUCUUUCCUUGAUCAUCUCAAUUUCGGUCUCUACUCUGUCCCUGAUGUCAAGCCUCGUGUACUAGCAUGAAGAGGUAACAAAGUCAAGCAGUUUGCAGAGCUUGAUAGAAUAAUAACCGCUCUUACGGGAAGAGGCCACUGAAGGCUUUUUGUCCUACAGUUCAUUUGCAGUUCAUGGUGCCAAACAGGUCUGCAUGCCACCACGGGUUCUGUUCUGCUGCACAUUCUUCAUUUCGUGUAGCUUCGUUUUCCAGUUCUCCAAAUGUCUGCACAAGAAUACUAAAGUCAUUUUCCUUGUAAGAGAGGUGAAGGGGGUGAAGAAUUGAAGUGCUAGGGGGUAGCAGUAGUUUUUUGUUCCUGGCCUGUUGAUUUUCCUGGGAUUUCCCCAAUUGCCUAAGCGGGUGAAGAAUUGAAGCUGCUGUUGUUCCUUCUUGCUUUUCUCUAGGCGAGAUCUCUGCUGCUGUUAUGUAGGAGGGGUUGGAGAGUUCCCAAGGGGCCUGCGUUUCUGUGGGUAGCAAGUUGAUGGCUAGCUGUUUGCUGUAGUCCAGCGAGGCUGCCGAGCAGCGAGGUUUGGUGGUGAUGCCGGUUUAGUUGAAACCGGGUCAGGGUUUUGCCCGACUCGUUUAACCCGAAAUGAGAAAAUAAACAGCGGCCGGUGGGGGGUGGGGGUUUGGGACAAGGGCAUGUGUCAUCUGUUCAUUGGUUGGGGAAUUUGAAUGUCAUUGAAUUGAAAAACAGUCAAAUGUCAAAUAGACAGUCCCAUAAUAUAUUGGAUAAGAGUGGAGGUUUACUGAACUGCUUGCAUUGCCGCGAUUGAAAUGGGGCUGAUCUUCUAAGCAACUUAGUGCUGGGUGCUUCCCUUUGUUCUUAACUUGCUUUCUCGCAGAGGAUGCUCUCUGGAAACAGUAAGCUUCGUCCAUUGUACCGUGUUUAACUGUGCGUUAACUGUGACUUUCCUUGCUAGCGUAUGAACGGUUAUAUAUAGUGGGUACAAAAGUGGAUGAGUCAUCAUUGUAGAUCUUUCAGCUCGCCAAAUGACACGCAUUUUCUGUACAAUAUUUCUUCGGGCGACACGCUCGGCUCCACGUGGAAGUAAGAAGAAACAUGGGAGGCUACCGGCCAUGUUGUGUACAGAGGCCAGACGGUUCAGGUGAUCCUCCAGCGGACUGGCAUUAGGGCAUGCUAAUACACCCAUAGAGGAGGCGCACAGGUGAAUCCUAACAGACCGUCGCCAAUGCGGGCAGCCGCGCCACGGUGUGCAACCGUUUUCCUGAAAGGAGACGGCGGGAAAGCCGCUUUGGCGAAGCAUUUGUCAGAAGGGGAUGUAGAACAGGGAGGACGGAGAUAGAGGAUGGGUGAGAGAUGUGUACCGGCGGCGACAGACGGCCAAAAUCGCGCGCUGGACAUCGUGUCAUACAUCUAUCAGCUUACAGUGACUGUAAGCGGAAAAGCUGGAUCGCUAGACAAGUUAUCGAGUGUGUUAUGUAGGCUUACUUAAGAUGGAGUACCAAGUCUAUCAUAAAGUACACAGUUUCAACUUUGUCCC